AGAGUGAACGCUGGCGGUAGGCCUAACACAUGCAAGUCGAACGGCAGCACGGUAAGAGCUUGCUCUUAUGGGUGGCGAGUGGCGGACGGGUGAGGAAUACAUCGGAAUCUACCUUUUGGUGGGGGAUAACGUAGGGAAACUUACGCUAAUACCGCAUACGCCCUUCGGGGGAAAGCCGGGGACCAGCAAUGGCCUGGCGCUGAUAGAUGAGCCGAUGUCGGAUUAGCUAGUUGGUGAGGUAAUGGCUCACCAAGGCGACGAUCCGUAGCUGGUCUGAGAGGAUGAUCAGCCACACUGGAACUGAGACACGGUCCAGACUUCCACGGGAGGCAGCAGUGGGGAAUAUUGGGACAAUGGGCGCAAGCCUGAUCCAGCCAUACCGCGUGGUGAAGAAGGCCUUGGUGUAAGCCCUUUGUGGAAGAAAGCAUUCGGUUAAUACCGGUGUUACUGACGGUACCCAAAGAAUAAGACACCGG
rnacentral:rRNA from 1 species